rnacentral:rRNA from 1 species
GAGGAAGUAAAAGUCGUAACAAGGUUUCCGUAGGUGAACCUGCGGAAGGAUCAUUAUCGAGUUUUGAAGUGGGCUGCUUGAGCUGGCACGCAGGUGCUCGGCGGCUCCGCUCUCAUCCACUCAAACCCCCCUGUGCACCUUGAACGAGUGUGGGUCGAGGCCGAAAGGCGGUAGGCCCGCCUCGUUUCUUACAAACUCUUGUAUUGUCUUGUAGAAUGCAUUGCCUCUCUGUGGGCGAAAUAGUUAAUACAACUUUCAACAACGGAUCUCUUGGCUCUCGCAUCGAUGAAGAACGCAGCGAAAUGCGAUAAGUAAUGUGAAUUGCAGAAUUCAGUGAAUCAUCGAAUCUUUGAACGCACCUUGCGCUCCUUGGUAUUCCGAGGAGCAUGCCUGUUUGAGUGUCAUGUUAUUCUCAAUCCCUUUGGUUUUUGUGACCGCUGGGCUUGGAUGUGGAGGUUUUGCUGGCUUCGCGGUCGGCUCCUCUUGAAUGCAUUAGCUGGGCUUACGCUCGAUGCAAUGGUGUAAUACUUUUCUUCACCAGUGUAACUUGCGAUGGGGGCCUGCUUCUAAUCGUCGCAAGACAACCAUAAGGACCUCGGUCCUUUGACACCUUUGACCUCAAAUCAGGUAGGACUACCCGCUGAACUUAAGCAUAUC